rnacentral:rRNA from 1 species
UAUCUCUGUAGAGUCUGCAUAUCAAUAAGCGGAGGAAAAGAAACUAACAAGGAUUCCCUAGUAACGGCGAGUGAAGCGGGAAGAGCUCAAAUUUGAAAUCUUCAAGGUUCUACCUUGACGAAUUGUAGUUUAAAGAAGUGUUUUCUGUUAGAUUUGAGUAGCAAAAGUUCCUUGGAAUAGGGACAUCAUAGAGGGUGAGAAUCCCGUAUUUGGACUAUUCAUUUCUAGCUUUGUGAUACACUUUCAAAGAGUCGGAUUGUCUGGGAAUGCAGUCCAAAAUGGGUGGUAAAUUUCAUCUAAAGCUAAAUAUAUGGCGAGAGACCGAUAGCGAACAAGUACCGUGAGGGAAAGAUGAAAAGAACUUUGAAAAGAGAGUUAAACAGUACGUGAAAUUGUCAAAAGGGAAGCGUUUGACACCAGUGUUGUUUUUCCGAAAAUCAAUUACGAAUGGCUUGAUUUUGUGUUGUAUUGACCUUAUCAGCUUUCUUCACUUUUUUCGAGUCUUUCUUAAUGCACUUUUCGGUUAACAAGUCAACAUCAAUUUCUUUUGUUGUAAAAGAGUAUUCGGAAGGUGGCUUUCUUUUCGGAGAAAGUGUUUAUAGCCCUAUACUUCUACAAUCGGAGAGAUUGAGGUCUGCAGCGUAGAUCCUUCGGGGUUAGAUACAUUUGUGCUAAGUUGUAGCUUUUCAUAGACAACUUGUUGACUAUGUUUAGUCAUGCGGCUUACUCGCUUAUGCUAUUUUACCUACGCUUAGGAUGUUGAAGACUCUACAGAGAUA